rnacentral:rRNA from 1 species
UACGUAGGGGGCAAGCGUUGUCCGGAUUUAUUGGGCGUAAAGAGCGUGUAGGCGGCCAGACAGGUCCACUGUGGAAAACUCGAGGCUCAACCUCGAGAGGUCGGUGGAAACCGUCUGGCUAGAGUCCGGAAGAGGAGAGUGGAAUUCCCGGUGUAGCGGUGAAAUGCGCAGAUAUCGGGAAGAACGCCCGUGGCGAAGGCGGCUACUCGUGGGACGGUACUGACGCUGAGACGCGAAAGCGUGGGGAGCGAACGAGG